GCGCCCGUGGCGAAAUUGGUAGACGCGCCAGACUUAGGAUCUGGUGUCUUGCGACGUGCAGGUUCGAGUCCUGUCGGGCGCA
rnacentral:tRNA from 1 species